GCUUAAGUGUGGUAGGCGUUUCUCAGGAGAAUAUAGAACGCCUUUCCCUGAUAACUGUUCCGUGGAAAAAGAAUAUAGAGCGCUUGCCUUACUUAACAGUUUCGUAUUUUUUACCACGAUAAAAAAAAAUUAAAAUAAAUAAAUACAUAUAUACGACUCAUAACAUAUAAAGCGGUAAUGAUAUAUGCGUACUAUCAACCUUGACGGCAGAAUGAAAUUAAAACCAAAUCUAAUUAACUGAACAAAAAUUUAAAUUUUAGGGUUAACCCAAAACCAAAUACAAAUGAAACUCUAAUCAGUAAAACUCAACUACUCGUAUUACUAGUGUUUCACAGAAUAUAAACCCCAAAAUCCAUCUCCCGCAAAACCAAAUCCCAAAACCGCGCACCACUACCCGUUCUCCCUCGCUGUGCCGUUGUACUGUCGUACUGCAAUACCGCCGCCGCUCCUUUUCAACAUCCGGUGAACGCCGAUCGACUCCCCACCACUCUAAAUUUCAAGGUUGGUAUCCUUAAUUUUGUUCUGCAUAUUUAUCCUUCAACUAAUAACCCUAGGGAUUAUGAAUAUUGUUAAUUAUCAAAUUACAAUGUCAAAGUAUGGAAUUUUAUAUGUGGAAGAAACUUUCAUUCAAGUUUUAGAUCGAAUCAUUGAUGCUUGAUUAAUAAUUAAGCCGAACAAUUCAUGAUUUUUUACCGAAUGAAUCUGAUAAACUAAGUCCUUUAAACUGAUUUAGUUUUAAGUUUAUAUGAUUUAAGUCGAGUUAUAUUGAAAUUCCCAGUUAAAGAAAGAAAGAGGAGGAGGGGGAAAUACUUUUUAAGAAUAAAUUUUAUAUUAGAUCAGAUGAUUUGUUUAUCUGAAGUUUUAGGCAUUAACGAAGAAAUUUGUGUAAUUCUAGCAACAUAUUACGAAAAUUAGUUUGUGUAGAUGAUGAUGAUGAUGAAAGCUUGUCAUUUUCCCAUAACUAUGCUUAUAGAUGAAACUGUAGCCUUGAGGUUCACAAGGGAUUUUGAAUCUGCAUUUUUCAUUUUACAAACUCCUGUCAAAUUAGUUCUGUAAACCUAAAGGUGGGAUUUCUUUGUCUUUUGUUUUCAUCUGUUUCAAUUAAGGCACCUAGUUGUUUUCAUCUGUUUCAAUUAAGACACCUGGUUAUUAUACAAAAUGUGUUAGGGGGGAAAGUAACCAGUUUGGUUGAUGAAAGGGAAUGCACGUAUCCAAUCCUCAUAACCCUUUUUCUGCCCUUGCCUUGAGUUGAGGUGGUCUGUUAUAAAGGUGGUUGUCUUGUUGAGGUUAAUAUGAUGUUUACAAAUUACAAUGUUGGUUGCUCCCAGGUUCUAAUACUGCAAUGUGCUAGGAUCAUUGUAAUUUGCAUUCUUGCUAUUUACAGUGAUGAGAAUAAUGUGCUCGGAGAGAACAUUGCUGGUCCAGAGAAGAAAAACGCAGAUGUUUCCGAGGAGACGAAGCAUUUAGUAGCAUAUCAUGGUGGGUUAAGAUAAAAUGAUCAAGCCUAGUAAACUUCUCGCCUGAUAGUGCUAACCUAUAGGUUGUAACUGUUUUAAGCUUUCCUUUUUGUGUAGAGGCCGGCCAUGCCUUAGUGGGCGCUCUCAUGCCUGAAUAUGAUCGUGUGCCCAAAAUUUCAAUCUGAUUUUUCUUUCUUAAAUUUACAGCAAGUGAUAUUUUCUGCUGAUAAAACAAAACUCGCAUUGGUAAAUCACGACCUCCUUUGUUUUUUGCGCUUCUCCAAUGGUUAGUUGCCUUAAAUUUUCUAUUAUUGUGAAUUAUUUGGGUUCAGGUUAACAUUUACAAAUAACAGAUAAGUUAUGGUAAAUUCAUGUUAUGAUUAUUGUACUUAUUCAAGUUGUGCUUUGAGAUGUCUUUGGAGGCAUGGUUGCCUGUAGUGGACUAAUACGAGUACUUGCUAUGUUCUUUCUGGUGAUUAGAUUAUAUCCUAGCAAUCAAUCAUUGUAGUCUUGUUCUUUUUGUAAAGAGUUCUUUGCUUGAACAAAAUUGUGAUGGUCCUUUCUCUUUUAGUUUUUACUUUCUCCUCUAUAAGUAGAUGUUUUUAACUUACAGUAUAUUUGAUAUCUUUUUACCUUCUAUAAUGGUUCAGGUCAACGAUACAGUUGGAACCCUAGCUAGAGGUAGGUACCAUAAAGAUGUAAUUGCUGCUGUUAUAUUGGGUACUGGAAUAAACGCAGCUUAUGUCGAACGUGCUAGUGAAAUUCACAAGUGGCAUAUUGGCAUGGUCCUUUUCCCAAAUCAGGGGAGAUGAUAUUUGAGAAAAUGAUAUCAGGAAUGUACUUGGGUGAGAUUGUGCGAAGAGUCUUGUAUAGGAUGGCAGAUGAGGCCAGCCUUUUUGGUGAUACAGUCCCAUCAAAAUUGAAAACUCCAUUCAUCUUAAGUGUGACUUAAGCUAGCUCAAGGAGAUGGUUAAUUACCUCAGUUCAGUCCUGCAGACGAACUGCCAAGCUAGUCUACCACCAGUAGACAAUUGCACCGAUAUUGUCCCUACUGUUGCUGUAGAAGUUGAUGUUGCUGCAGAAGUUGUUCUUGCUUCAGAAGCUGCUAUUGUUGCUGCUACACCAUCCCCAGUUGCUGCUGCUAUACAAUCCCCAAUACGUUGUUGCUGCUACCAUUCUACCAAAGCUCUUCCGCUACAAUUUUUUUA